rnacentral:rRNA from 1 species
UACGUAGGGUGCAAGCGUUAAUCGGAAUUACUGGGCGUAAAGCGUGCGCAGGCGGCUAUGCAAGACAGAUGUGAAAUCCCCAGGCUCAACCCUGGGAACUGCAUUUGUGACUGCAUGGCUAGAGUACGGUAGAGGGGGAUGGAAUUCCGCGUGUAGCAGGUGAAAUGCGUAGAUAUCCGGAGGAACACCGGUGGCGAAGGCGGCUUCCUGGACCGACACUGACGCUGAGGCGCGAAGCUAGGGGAGCAAACAGG